UACGUAGGGGGCUAGCGUUGUCCGGAAUCAUUGGGCGUAAAGCGCGCGUAGGCGGCCAGAUAAGUCCGGUGUGAAAGUCAAAGGCUCAACCUUUGAAUGCCGCUGGAAACUGCCUGGCUUGAGUCCGGGAGGGGCGAGUGGAAUUCCUGGUGUAGCGGUGAAAUGCGCAGAUAUCAGGAAGAACACCUAUGGCGAAGGCAGCUCUCUGGGACGGUACUGACGCUGAGACGCGAAAGCGUGGGGAGCGAACAGG
rnacentral:rRNA from 1 species